rnacentral:lncRNA from 1 species
UAAUGAGUGUUUUUGCCGUUUCAUUUUCAAUGCUAAGUUUUGAAUUUUUAUUUUCUAGGUCAAUGGUGUUAACAUUUUCAAAGCUCUCCUUCUCAAUCAGUAAGUUUUCAAUGUCAUCCUUUAGUUUUUGAUUGGAGGCCUUUAAUUCUUUAUUUUUUGCUCCUAACAUACUACAAUCACUCAUGAGCUCUUGGAAGGCUUCAUAUAAUUCUUCUAAAGUAAAAUCUGUAGUUGAGCUUUGACAUACCACAUCGUCGUUGAAUGCCAUGAAACAUAAGUUGGCGGUCUCUUCCUUCUCUUCCUCGGAGGAGGAUGUGUCACUAUCAUCCCAAGUUGCUUUCAACGCCUUCUUCUUCUUCUUUCCGUAGUGCUUCUUCUGUUGAGGGCAUUCGGAACGGAUGUGUCCCGGUCUCUUGCAAUCAUAACAUAUGAUUGGGUCUCUUUCCUUUUCUUUUUC